UUUACAGUGGAUUUCUUACAUCCUCCGUCAAGAUUUUUGACAUUCAGGAAAGGAUAGACAAAGGUUGAUAUUGUUACAAUGCUGCCGAGGCAGAGCCUCAGCUGAAGCUCAUUAAGUGAGAUGCUCCACAUUUCCUCGAGUGCGGAGACGUCAGCCGGCGUCGUAGUCUGAGCGGCCCGCCGGUUCAGUCUGAGCGGAGAGGAGUUCUGCAAAGUCAUGCAUGCUUGUGCAUCGCUGCCCCGGGAGACGCAGAGGGUAUCGCGUGUGUUUUCUACACUGAACCCAGCGAACAUGUUCUGCAGGCGGGCAUUGCAGCGCUUCGGACCCCUGACUCAAAGGGCAGCCAAUCCGUCACUCAGAAAUGCCGUGCCCGUGCGACACAUGGCCUUCGGCAUCCCCGGCUCGUCCAACAUGGCGUACUUUGUCAUGUGUGGAGGCGGCCUCACGGCGGCCAUGGUCUAUGCCUACAAGACAGUGAACGGAGACAGCGAGAGGUACAACGACAGACUGGCAGAGAUUGCCGCCCCAAAAGAAGCAGCUCCAGAGGCUGAGCCCACACCAGCAGCUCCAGAACCGGCAGUAGAGGCCGUCGCAGUCGAAGCUGUAGAGGCCGUCACAGUCGAGGCAGUCGAAGCUGUAGAGGCCGUCACAGUCGAGGUUGUCGCUGUAGAGGCCCUAGCCGUAGAGGCUGAACCCGCAGCAGUGGAAGAGGCGGCCAUCGAGGUGGUAGCGGAGGCUCCGGCGGCCGAGGCUGUAUCGGAGACCGCCGCCGAACCCGCCCUGGAGGUCGUCGCUGUCGAGGCCGUCGCCGUGGAGGCCGUUCCUGAAGCCGCUGUCGUCGAAGAGGUGGCGCCGGCGGAGUCGGUUGUCGAGUCCGCUGAGCCCGCGGUGGAAGAGGCCGCGCCCGCCGCCACAGAGGUGGCUGACUCGGUCGAGGUCGUCGUGGAGGAGGUGGCUGCCCCAGCGGAAGCCGCCCCGGUGGAGAGUGAGGGUACAGUGGUAGUAGAGGACAUCCCUAGCCCCGUUGAGGUCGCCCCGGAGGCCGACGCCGCCGCUACCAUCGUAGCAGCGGCCUAAAGCGCUGGCCCACCCCCAGUAGUGCUGUAGUUAGCUGUGCUGUGUUUUCCUAAACUCUCUUCCCAACAAGGUGGACUGGAGGGGAGAGUCCCAAAGGGCGAGGGGAAACUUGUAGUCACACACGCCGAAAUGCAUACCUGCUGCUGACUUUCAGUCUGGUAAAAGGGCCAUUUAAAUGCCUCACUCUUGAACAUCUUUUAAAAAGAUGGUUUCAAGUACUUUACAGAUUUUUUGUCUGUGCCUUACUAUGGGCCAAGGACGAAGGCCUACUACCCCCUGUUGUCUUUGUCGUUGUUGGGAGUUGUGAGUUUUGGUCCUUUGCAAUAGGAGUCUUAAGCCAACCCAAAUGCCAGUUCCUAGUGUUAUCUGAACUGGUUCACUGAUGGGAGGGUGUAAAACUUCGUUUCAGAUGAUAUUUCAUUGUUCAUAAAUGUGUAUUCCUGAGUCAUGUUUAACUUGCAAUUAGUUCAACAUCUGUCGGUUAUUCUGUUUGAAUAGCAAUCACCUUUUCUAGAAUGAUUCACUCCAAUUUGAAUAUGACUGUUCAUUUCAUUAAUCAUCCAGCAUCAUCACCCCUCAUUCUCAAUCUUCAUUGCAUUUUUGUACUUGGAACUUUGACAUGCCAAGUGGAUGAUGAGGAAAGAAGUUAUUCAAUAAAGAAUUGCAAAUAAUUGUGGUCUUAGUUUCAAAUUGGUUUAAUCUCCUUCUGAUCAACAAAUGCCUUCCCUUUAAAAUCCAAGUAUGAGGUUUUCAUCAACUCCUCUGAAAUCGUCAAUCUGGGAUUUGAUUUAGAUUUUUGCAAAC
rnacentral:lncRNA from 1 species